GUUGUAUGGUUAAGUGACUAAGCGUACACGGUGGAUGCCUUGGCAGUCAGAGGCGAUGAAAGACGUAGUAACUUGCGAUAAGCCCAGAUUAGGUAGUAACAACCAUUUGAGUCUGGGAUUUCUGAAUGGGGAAACCCACGUGCAUAAGCACGUAUCCUUACCUGAAUACAUAGGGUAAGGAGGCGAACCGGGGGAACUGAAACAUCUAAGUACCCCGAGGAAAAGAAAUCAACCGAGAUUCCGAAAGUAGCGGCGAGCGAAAUUGGACUAGCCCUUAAGCUUUACACGCGUUAGACGAACGGUCUGGAAAGUCCGACGAUACAGGGUGAUAGUCCCGUAGUUGACGACGUGUGUUCAGUGAAAUCGAGUAGGGCGGGACACGUGAUAUCCUGUCUGAAUAUGGGGGGACCAUCCUCCAAGGCUAAAUACUACUGACUGACCGAUAGUGAACCAGUACCGUGAGGGAAAGGCGAAAAGAACCCCUGUGAGGGGAGUGAAAUAGAACCUGAAACCGUGUACGUACAAGCAGUAGGAGCAGGCUUUGUCCUGUGACUGCGUACCUUUUGUAUAAUGGGUCAGCGACUUAUAUUCAGUGGCAAGGUUAACCAUCUAGGGGAGCCGUAGGGAAACCGAGUCUUAACUGGGCGUUCAGUCUCUGGAUAUAGACCCGAAACCAGGUGAUCUAGCCAUGGGCAGGUUGAAGGUUGAGUAACAUCAACUGGAGGACCGAACCGACUAAUGUUGAAAAAUUAGCGGAUGACUUGUGGCUAGGGGUGAAAGGCCAAUCAAACCUGGAGAUAGCUGGUUCUCCCCGAAAGCUAUUUAGGUAGCGCCUCGGACGAAUACUACUGGGGGUAGAGCACUGUUAAGGCUAGGGGGUCAUCCCGACUUACCAACCCUUUGCAAACUCCGAAUACCAGUAAGUACUAUCCGGGAGACACACGGCGGGUGCUAACGUCCGUCGUGGAGAGGGAAACAACCCAGACCGCCAGCUAAGGUCCCAAAUUACUACUAAGUGGGAAACGAUGUGGGAAGGCUCAGACAGCCAGGAUGUUGGCUUAGAAGCAGCCAUCAUUUAAAGAAAGCGUAAUAGCUCACUGGUCGAGUCGGCCUGCGCGGAAGAUGUAACGGGGCUAAGUAGUAAACCGAAGCUGCGGCAAUAUACUUUUGUAUAUUGGGUAGGGGAGCGUUCUGUAAGCGGUUGAAGGUGUGUGGUAACGCAUGCUGGACGUAUCAGAAGUGCGAAUGCUGACAUGAGUAACGAUAAAGGGGGUGAAAAACCUCCUCGCCGGAAGACCAAGGGUUCCUGUCCAACGUUAAUCGGGGCAGGGUAAGUCGACCCCUAAGGCGAGGCCGAAAGGCGUAGUCGAUGGGAAACGGGUUAAUAUUCCCGUACUUCUUACAAUUGCGAUGGGGGGACGGAGAAGGCUAGGUGGGCCUGGCGACGGUUGUCCAGGUUCAAGUGCGUAGGCUUAAGAGUUAGGUAAAUCCGGCUCUUUCUAAGGCUGAGACACGACGUCGAGCACCUACGGGUGUGAAGUCAUUGAUGCCAUGCUUCCAGGAAAAGCCUCUAAGCUUCAGAUUGUAAGGAAUCGUACCCCAAACCGACACAGGUGGUCGGGUAGAGAAUACCAAGGCGCUUGAGAGAACUCGGGUGAAGGAACUAGGCAAAAUGGUACCGUAACUUCGGGAGAAGGUACGCUCUCGACGGUGAAGUCCCUCGCGGAUGGAGCUAUUGAGAGUCGCAGAUACCAGGUGGCUGCAACUGUUUAUUAAAAACACAGCACUGUGCAAAAUCGUAAGAUGACGUAUACGGUGUGACGCCUGCCCGGUGCCGGAAGGUUAAUUGAUGGGGUUAGACUUCGGUCGAAGCUCUUGAUCGAAGCCCCGGUAAACGGCGGCCGUAACUAUAACGGUCCUAAGGUAGCGAAAUUCCUUGUCGGGUAAGUUCCGACCUGCACGAAUGGCGUAAUGAUGGCCACGCUGUCUCCACCCGAGACUCAGUGAAAUUGAAAUCGCUGUGAAGAUGCAGUGUACCCGCGGCUAGACGGAAAGACCCCGUGAACCUUUACUACAGCUUGGCACUGAACAUUGACCCUACAUGUGUAGGAUAGGUGGGAGGCUUUGAAGCACGUACGCCAGUAUGUGUGGAGCCGUCCUUGAAAUACCACCCUUGUAGUGUUGAUGUUCUAACGUCGACCCCUUAUCGGGGUUGCGGACAGUGCCUGGUGGGUAGUUUGACUGGGGCGGUCUCCUCCCAAAGAGUAACGGAGGAGCACGAAGGUGGGCUAAUCACGGUUGGACAUCGUGAAGUUAGUGCAAUGGCAUAAGCCCGCUUGACUGCGAGAAUGACAAUUCGAGCAGGUGCGAAAGCAGGUCAUAGUGAUCCGGUGGUUCUGAAUGGAAGGGCCAUCGCUCAACGGAUAAAAGGUACUCCGGGGAUAACAGGCUGAUACCGCCCAAGAGUUCAUAUCGACGGCGGUGUUUGGCACCUCGAUGUCGGCUCAUCACAUCCUGGGGCUGAAGUCGGUCCCAAGGGUAUGGCUGUUCGCCAUUUAAAGUGGUACGCGAGCUGGGUUUAGAACGUCGUGAGACAGUUCGGUCCCUAUCUGCCGUGGGCGUUGGAAGAUUGAAGGGGGCUGCUCCUAGUACGAGAGGACCGGAGUGGACGAACCUCUGGUGUUCGGGUUGUGUCGCCAGACGCAUUGCCCGGUAGCUAAGUUCGGAAUCGAUAACCGCUGAAAGCAUCUAAGCGGGAAGCGAGCCCUGAGAUGAGUCUUCCCUGAUACUUUAAGUAUCCUAAAGGGUUGUCGGAGACUACGACGUUGAUAGGUCAGGUGUGUAAGUGCUGUGAGGCAUUGAGCUAACUGAUACUAAUUACCCGUGAGGCUUAACCAUACAACACCCAAGGGGUUU
rnacentral:rRNA from 1 species